AUGAAUGCUGGCGGCGUGCCUUAGGCAUGCAAGUCGAACGGAUUUGGUAGCAAUAUCAAGUCAGUGGCAGACGGGUGAGUAAUGCGUAGGAAUCUACCCCUGGGAGGACCAUAGCCCCUCGAAAGAGGGGAUAAUAGUCCAUAGUCUCGCAAGAGUAAAGGUCUUAACGGACCGCCGAGGGAGGAGCCUACGUCCUAUCAGCUAGUAGGUGGGGUAAUGGCCUACCUAGGCAAUGACGGGUAGCUGGACUGAGAGGUCGAUCAGCCACAACUGCACUGAGACACGGGCAGUACACCUACGGGUGGCAGCAACCAGGAAUAUUUGGCAAUGGACGAAAGUCUGACCAAGCGACGCCGCGUGGAGGAAGACGGCCUUCGGGUUGUAAACUCCUUUUGCCAAGCUCUUCACGGCUUGGAGAAUAAGCCUCUACUAACUACGUGCCAGAAGUCUCGGUAAUACGUAGGAGGCAAGCAUUAUCCGGAUUCAUUGGGCGUAAAGUGUGCGUAGGCGGUUUAGUGAGUCCUUAUUUAAAGGCUGUGGCUUACCCAUAGUUUCGGUAAGGAUACUAUUAGACUAGAGGAUUGACAGGGGUACUAGAACAGUUAGUGCAGCAGUGAAAUGCGUUGAUAUUAACUGGAAUACCGAUGGCGAAGGCAGGUACCUGGGUUUUUCCUGACGCUGAGGCACGAAAGCUAGGGUAGCGAAACAGAUUAGAUACCUGUGUAGUCCUAGCCGUAAACGAUGUCUGCUAGCUUUUUGCGUAAGCAAGAGGUGUAAGUUAACACGUUAAGCAGACCGCCUGGGGAGUACGACCGCAAGGUUAAAACUCAAAGGAAUUGACGGGGACCCGCACAACCGGUGGAGCGUGUGGUUCAAUUUGAGACGAAGCAAAAAACCUCACCAGGGCUUGACAUGCUAGCGUUCUAUGCCUAUGAAAGUAGGCAAAUUCCGCAAGGAGGCUAGUGCAGGUGGUGCAUGGCUGUCGUCAGCUCGUGCCGUGAGGUGUUCCAUUAAGUUGGGAAACGAGCGCAACCCGCAUCCAAUGUUAAAUUAUUCAUUGGGAACUGUCCCAGUUUUACUGGGAAGGAAGGCGCGGAAGACGUCAAGUCAGCAUGCUCCUUAUGCCCUGGGCUACACACACCCUACAAUGGCGAACAACAAUGAGUCGCAAGUCAGUAAUGACAAGCUAAUCUCAGAAAUUUCGCCUCAGUUCAGAUUGAGGGCUGCAACUCGCCCUCAUGAAGUCGGAAUCGGUAGUAAUCGCGAAUCAGCAGGUCGCGGUGAAUACGUUCUCGGGUCUUGUACACACCGCCCGUCAAGGCAGCAAAGUCGGUAGCUAUCGAAUAUUGUCUUUAUGGCGAUAGAGAUAGAGAUUGGCGAUGAAGCUU
rnacentral:rRNA from 1 species